rnacentral:rRNA from 1 species
AUGGGUUCCAGUCCUGCUGCGCGUUCCAAUCCCAGCAGGACCGGAAAGCGGGGGGAUGCCGUGGGCGGUGGCAAUCCACCAAGCAGAUCUGCCAAGAAGUCCUCUGCUCUUCUCCCGAAGGGCUGGAGCGGGACGGCGUCGUACAGAUGUUCCCCGCACCUCAUCCCGCAGAUUGUGGGGCUUCUCAGCGAGGAGCAGAAGGGCUUCGUCAGAAAAAUCGGGUUUGGGAGCCUGCUGUCCAUGGCAGACUUCGAGAUUAACAAGGCCCUUACCUUGUGGCUGGUUGGCAGGUUCAGUUGUGAGACCGAGGCGCUCGAGUUUGAAGGCGGCGUGUCGAUUCCGGUCAGGCCGCUCGUCAAGUCUAUCCUUGGGAUCCCUUCAGGCCCCAUCCCAGUCGUGCAGUCUCCCUACAGUCACUUCUCUUCUACUAAAGUGAGGAAGGCAAAGGAACUGGCCGAAGAAAUGUGUGGCAUAACCGAGGAGGAACCCUUCUGUACAGCCUUCAUGAUGGUGAUACUCGCGAUUUAUCUAGCGCCAAAUACAACCAUGCUUGUCAACCGGUCCUUGCUCGGAGCUGCUCAGAAGGUUGGUAACCUCAAACAGAUGGACUGGUGCGGUUUCGUUGCUGACUAUCUCCUCAAAGGACUCAUGGAGUUCAAGGAAUCCGAUGCACCCUUUGUUCUUCUCAAGGGCUGUGUGCACAUUCUGAGCGUCAUUUUCAUUGAUCAUGUGAAACAUGCUGAAUUCCAAGUACCAAACGGCUUUCCACGCUUGCGCGUUGUCAGUACAGCGCAUAACAAAUGGGUAGCUUCGCAUCCCUUUGGUAGCUUGCUGGUACGUCGUCUAGAAGAGUCUGUCUAUGCUCCUGUGCUUAAUAAUGGAAAUGGUAACAUUGUUGAAGGCGGAGAAUGUGCUGAUUCUGAUACAAAUACUGAUGCUCUAGCCAAUCUGCCUGCUACCGACAAUGAUCAAAAUAACCAGCAUCCGGUUUCAGCAGGUCCUGCCAGCUUGUCCAUUGUUGUAGCGUUAGAGACAUCAGCUCAAUCUGCAGGUACAAACCAUCUUCACGGGGCCAUGGGUUCCAAUCCUGCUGCGCAUGCUAAUCCCAGCAGUAACGGAAAGCAGGGGAGUGCCAUGGAUGGUGGUAGUCCACCAAGUAGAUCUGCCAAGAGGCCCCGGAAGAGCGGGAGCGCGGUGUACAGAUGUUCCCCUCGCCUCAUUCCGCAGAUUGUGGAGCUUCUCAGUGAGGAGCAGAAGGGCUUCGUCAGAAAAAUCGGGUUUGGGAGCCUGCUGUCCAUGGCGGAUUUCGAGAUGAACAAGGCCCUUACCCUCUGGUUGGUUGGUAAGUUCAGUUGUGACACCAAUGCGCUUGAGUUUGGAGGCGGCUUAUCGAUUCCGGUGAGGCCACUCGUCAAGUCUGUCCUUGGGAUCCCUUCGGGCCCCAUCCAAGUCGUGCAGGGUCUCCAUGUUGACUAUGGUCUCUUCAGUCAGUACUGCUCUGUUAAAUUCAAGAACGCCAGGAAAUUGGCCGAGGAAAUGUGCAGCAUAACCGAGGAGGAACCCUUCUGUAUAGCCUUCAUGAUGACGAUACUCGCGAUUUAUCUAGCACCAAAUACAACCGUGCUUGUCAACAGGUCCUUUCUUGGAGCUGCUCAACAGGUCAGUAGCCUCAAACAGAUGGAUUGGUGCGGUUUCGUUGCUGACUAUCUUUUCAAAGGAAUCAGGGAGUUCAAGGAAUCAGAUGCACCCUUUGGUUGUCUAAAGGGCUGUGUGCACAUUCUGAGCGUCAUUUUCAUUGAUCUUGUGAAACAUGCUGCAUUCGAAGUACCAAACCGCUUUCCACGCUUGGGCUUUGUCACUACAGAGCAUAACAAAUGGGUAGCUUCACAUCCCUUUGGUAGCUUGCUGGUACGUCGUCUAGAAGAGUCUGUCUAUGCUCCUGUGCUUAAUAAUGGAAAUGGUAACAUUGUUGAAGGCGGAGAAUGUGCUGAUUCUGAUACAGAUACUGAUGCUCUGUCCAAUCAGUCUGCUACCGACAAUGAUCAAAAUAACCAGCAUCCGGUUUCACCAGGUCCUGGCAGCUUGCUCAUUGUUACAGGGUUAGAGACAUCAGCUCGAUCUGCAGAACACAUUAUUUUUCCAAGAAGUGGCGAGCAAUUGCAGUCUGCUGGGCCUUCUUCUGAACCGUAUUCUGCACAAAUUCCAAACGGGCUGGAGGUUCUUGCGGCUGCUGCCGAGAGCAGGAACAGGGAUUCACCGUCGACGAUGGAGAAGCAUGAUCGGAGCGCCAAAAGGGCAAGGGUGGAGCCGCCCAAUAGUGGGCAAAUGGUGCGAGCUGGAGAAGCCACCAUAAGGAUGGACAUGAGUUUGUUUAGUUGCCGCGUCUGCUCCCACCCCGUCAAGCCCCCUGUCUUCCAGUGCAAUGUCGGGCAUUUAGCUUGCGGCAGAUGCCUUGCGGAGCUCCCCGACGAACAGUGCCAGAUGUGUGAGCACGGCGGUGACUUUAGCCGCUGUCCAGUGAUGGACGACGUCGUCCUGUCGAGCACGAUGAAGUGCUCCCACGAAGGCUGCCACAUUUACGUCCCCUACCACGAGCUCGACGACCACCAGAGCACGUGCCCACACGGGCCCUGCUUCUGCACGGAGACCGGCUGCAGCUUCGCCGGCGCACCGGCGGCGCUCCUCGGCCAUCUCGCCGCCCUGCACUCAAUGCCAGUGCACAAGGUCCACUACGGCAGUGUCCAUCAGCUCCGGGUGUCGGAGCCACGGUUCCUGCUCCACGCGGAAGAGGACGACAGCGCGUUCCUCCUGGCCGUGGGCGUGCUCGGCAUGGCCACCGUCGCGUCCGUGGUGUGCCUCAGAGCGGGAGCAUACCCAGAGCCGCGAUACGCGGUCAAGCUCUGGGCGAACGGUCCGCCGCUACCGAGCAGCGCGGCGGGCAGCAUUCUGCUGGACAUGCAGGCGGUGACGAGCAUCGCCAGGCCCGGCGAGGUGGCGGUGGAGGAGCUGCCGUCGUUCCUGAUGGUGCCGCCGGCAUACCUGGUUGACUGUGGGGCGUACAAGGAGGUGUCCCUCGACGUUCGCAUUGACAGGAUGUGA